rnacentral:misc_RNA from 1 species
AGACAACAAUAACAAUAAUAUUAUGUGAAUAUUGCGAACUGUGGAGCCACCGCUAAACGCUAUAUUACAAUGCGCCGAACAUUAUGUUAUCGACCCGUUUAUGAGCACAUACAAUUGGAAAUUGUAAAAGCUAAAAAAACGAUGAACGUGUCUCUCUUUCACUCUUCCCGUUCCGAUUUUUAAUAAUAUCCAUUUGCGAUUCUCUCGAGACGUCGAGUCGCGUUUCGAUCGUCGCGCCGCCGACACUGCUAGGCACCGCCGCACUACACGAUUGUGAUUCGUGAUGGCAGAUCGCGUGCGACCGUUGCCGUUACCGCCGCCGUCGUUGCAGAAUUCCAGGACGGCGCUGCGAACGGGAAGAGGAACAUAAAAUAAUAUCACAAAUAUAUAUAGUCCGACGUCGUGGCCGCUGCCAAUCGCCGUGGCCGCCGGCGGAGUGGGGUAACGCGUGUGCGAGAAUGUAUCUUGAAAAUGCUAAAAAUAGCCACCAUCCGCCCGCCGCAAACGCUUCUAUCCUAAUUCUUUUUCCACACGCAAAGACUUUUAUUUCGACGUUUUCCUGCGUAUAUUUCGAUUAAAUCAUAACUGCACUGGUACCAUCGGUGCGGGGUUUUCGCAUUUUUGUUUGAAAUUUUUCGCGUUCCUCUCAGUUCUGGUUUGAAAUUUUUUUUCAAAAAUGUCAAAUUUUUUUUGUCUGCUCCAUACAUGUCCGAUCGUCGUGUGACCAAAGUUGCACGUCUGUUGUUGUACUUGUGUGGUUGCAAAAACGAAAUAAAAAUUCAAUAUCAUAUGCUAGGUAUUGAUCGCGAUUGUGCAAAUGGUUUCGUGAGGGUUUCCGAUCAAAACACUCAAACGGGAUACUGACAACGAAACACGAUACUUGUGAUUUGUGAACGUGCCUCAACAAGUGCUUAACAAAAUGGUUGUUCCAGAAAACGGAACUAUGUGUGAUAAUAUUAUGCGAGGUAUAGAAAAAAAUGGUGGCGGUAUACAUUUGCAUAAUAGGAAACAAAAAUUAAAACAAAAAUUUGAUAUACUGAAAAAACUUGGAGAAGGAUCUUGUGGUAAAGUUCAAUUAGGUAUUUGUAAAGAAACUGAACAGCUGGUUGCUAUCAAAACAAUAAGGAAGCGGAAAAUAGAGACUGAAGCAGAUUUAAUACGAAUAAGGCGAGAAAUACAAAUUAUGUCUUCUGUAAGACAUCCUAAUAUUAUUCAUAUAUAUGAAGUAUUUGAAAAUCGGGAAAAAAUUGUCUUAGUAAUGGAAUAUGCAGCUGGAGGUGAACUUUAUGAUUUUCUCAGCGAGAAAAAAGUUCUUACUGAGGAAGAAGCUAGAAGAAUAUUUAGACAAGUGGCUAUUGCUAUUUUUUACUGUCAUAAGCAUAAUAUUUGUCAUCGUGAUCUCAAAUUGGAAAACAUAUUAUUGGACGAACAAGGAAAUGCUAAGAUUGCUGAUUUUGGGUUGUCAAAUGUUUUUAAUCACAAAGCACUUUUGUCAACAUAUUGUGGUAGUCCAUUAUAUGCAUCUCCAGAAAUUGUUACUGGUACUCCUUAUCAUGGCCCCGAAGUAGAUUGUUGGUCUUUAGGUGUUUUAUUGUACACUCUAGUGUAUGGUACAAUGCCAUUUGAUGGAUCAAAUUUCAAACGCCUGGUUAGACAGAUUUCUCAAGGCGAAUAUUAUGAACCAAAAAAACCAUCAAGAGCUUCUCCUUUGAUUCGUAGCAUGAUGACAGUAAAUCCUAAUGCACGUGCUGAUAUCCGUACAAUAUGUUCACAUCAGUGGUUAAAUGAAGGUUUUUCUGAUGAAAAUCAAUGUUUGCGAAUUGCAGAAGAAAUGGCUUCCUCAGCUCCAGUUAGAUUAGACUUGUUACUAUCCUUAGCACCUACUCCAAAGGAAGCCAAUAAUAAUUUAGAUAUUCCACCUUCUCAAAGUAACGCUGAAAAUGAUGUACGAUCUGAGACGGGACCUGUAAGGUCUCAAAGUUUAGGAAGUAUAUCUCCAUCGCGUGCAACUGCUGUAAUACCUGAUUCACCUGUGGAGAAAAAACCUAAGAAAUUAAAAAAAAGAGAUCGUUCCAUUAGUCGUUCUAAAAAAUCUAGUCAGUCUGAUACAGGUGAAAAUGAUCUCGAAAUUCCAACUUCUAAAGAUUCAUGUAAAUCUAUUAAAAAUAAUUCAAAGAGUGAUCUACCACAAUCUCCAUUACAAUCUACAACAAAUAGUGAAUCUGACGUAGUAAAACCUGUUGAACGUGCCCGACGACGAUCUAGUAGAGUUUUAGAAGCUGUAGAAAAAUUAGAUCAAAUUGAAUCCAUGGCCAAAAAUAAUUUUGAUCAAAAAAGAAGAAGUUCUCUUGGCAGUGGCUCUUCAAAUAGUUCCAAAAAGAGUAUUGAGUCUGAUAUGUCAACUACUCGAGAACCAACAAAAGAACCACAAUUCAGUUUAGAGUCUACAGUUGGUCUAAAUAAAUUAGCCGAGUCAGCAUUAAACAAUGAACCAAUUUGUGGAACACAUUCAAAUAAAGAUUUUAAGAAUCUUCCCGACGAUUUGAGAAAAAGCUUAAAUGCUAUCAGGAUAAUUGGAGAUUCUAUUUCUGACAGUAAUACAAAUAAAGUGGUUGAACCAAAGAGGAAAACUUCAAGAGCUGAGAUAAAAUUAGCUAAGCCCGAGUUACCAGUUAGUAGUGUUGCUAAUGAUUCUAAAGUUCAAGAUAAUGGUUCAAUAGAUGCAAAUUAUAAAACCGAAGUAAAACAUUUUGUUCAAGUGCCUAAACCAACCAGACGUAUCACUGAAGUAUCUUUCCCAGUUGCUGGAGCUACUCCAACCGCAGUGGCACCAUUACCGCCAAGACCUGUUUUGAGACAAAACAGUCAACUUCGUGAACACAUCAUACCUAUACGGUUUGAAGUAGAAGAUAAGCCCAAACCAAAACCAGUUCAAAGAGUUUCAUCUGUCACUAGUCCCAGGACCAGUUGCAAUAAUUUAUCACGGCAAAGUACAGUGGACACAGAUAGUAAUAGCAGUAUUGCAAGCUUAGGAGAGCCAAUUAGAAAGUCUCCCCGUGAAGUUAUUAUACCCAUUGCGGUUGAAGGUGGAGGUUUUGUUACGCCUAGUAAUAGUGCACUUUCUAGAACAAAUUCAAAUAGUGAUAAAGGUGAUGAUGAUAAUGGUACAGUUGGUGGUCAGCCUAGAUGUUUCACAUUGCGCAGCACACGCAGACAAAGACCUUCUAUGAGAAAUUUACAAUCAACUGAAAGUAUAAGUUCAGAUGAGGAAGAUGAUAGUUUUGAAAUCUUAACUGCUGAGAAUUUAUUCUCUACAUUACUAUCUAGGGUGCGGGAUUUAACAAAUAGAUUGAGCAGUGAUGAGGGAAGAACAUCUGACUUUCCAAGAUCAUUUUUCAAUCAUCAUCGUUCUAUAUUUGACCACCAAACUCCAAUUCGCCGUCUAACUGAAACUCGAUCAUUUAAUCGGUCCGACAGUGCCCCAUGGAGAAGAAGUUUUGUUUCUACCACUCAAGAUACUCCUCCAUCUAACGCUUCUACUAAAGCCAAUGUGACGGUGCAUGUGCCACGUGUACAAGACGAGUAAUAAUGAUACUUCCUUCUGCCUGUCCAUAAUUUAAACCAAAAACAAAUCUAUACAUAUUACCUAUGCCACAAAUCUAUAGAACUGCUUAGAAAUGCUGAUAAAACGACUAAUAUUCAGAAACCACCGGUGUACAAGCACAUUUUGCCACGCGUUCUGGAAACCACAACUAAUAAUGAACACUUAAACUACCGUGACAAGAUCAACGCAACAAAACUGCCAAUGUCACCGCCUCCUAAACAUAUAACCCAGCCAUCUGUGUACAACAUGCCUUCUGACCCUAUCAAGGAACGCCAGUCUCGUGUGGACCAAAUUUUAGAGAAAUACCGCCG